UUGUGUACAAACAGGUUCAAGCAUAAUCAUGGUGAUAUGAUUAUAUGGAGUAGAAGGGAGGAAGUUGUGUCUCAUCAGCAUUGUGUUCUGCAUCUAUAUAAAGCACAUCCAAGAAUCACUGUCCAAGGUCUCUCUUUCGAUUGAUAGCAUCGGUAGCAGGAUAUAACAUCAGGUUACAAGCCUUUGUGGUACAGGAAGGACCGAAGGAGGAAGUUGGUGAGAUACAGAGGGAAGUUGAAUUGGGACGAGGGAUAGAGAUACAACCAGCAAAUGCGCCGAGGAACAGUAAGGUAUGUGAUAUUUAGAGUUCUGCUCAUCCAUGUCCACUUUAGUCCAUCAAACCAUCUCACACCCGCUUCUCUUUGUCAGCUAACUCAGUAAGUAUUCUUCAGGUGCUAUUUUCUUCACCAGUUAACUCCUUCAAGUAUGCGUUCUUGUCAUCAGUACACACAGCCUCCUAUUGCAGGUCUCUAACACUUUCGCCCAAUGGUCCGAUGCAGACUUAUACUGACAUUAUCAAGAGAAAGAAUACGUUGAUGUAGCAUAUUUGCACUGUUCAUGUACAACUGAAAGUGACUAAACUCUAUUGUUUUUUGCCCUUGCCAACUUAAUACAGUAUAGUUCCGAUUCAUCUAAAUUGAGUCAGAGAUUAAACUGACGAUUUCUUCGCAAUUGCUGCAUCAAAUCAUCUAAAAGAAACUAAAAACUUUCUUAUCCUUCUUAUCCGACUAAUAAUAUCCAUUUUCAUUUUUUUAUUAUAUACUCAUAUUUGUUGUUGGUUGUAGUCUUCUUUUCUUAACUUUUUUACACUAGAGUACCAUGCCUUUUUUUGUCCAUUGGAAAGGCUUUGUACUACUUAAUGUUAUAGGCCAGGUGUUUGUGUUUUACCCCAACUGAUAUAUGUCAUAUAUAUAUAUACCAGGAAAUAAGUUUUUUUCCUUUGUAUUAUUCUUGUGUUAUGAAGGUAUAAGAAUGGAUGAAUGGCCACAAAGAUCAAAUAGUGAUAAUUAAUUGCCAAAAAAAGCUUCAGGACAACACUAGAUAUUGUCAUGUUUCAAAACCAUAAUAUGAUUUAUUCUUGCAUUCUCAAGGUUCAGACAAGAGGCGGGCUAAUUCAAAUAAAGAAAUAGAUCCCAUGAGAAAAAACAUCUAAAACAUUGUGUACAAAGAUGUGAAUAUGUACCAAGAUGUGGGAUGAAUACGUGUUUUUUUCUUACUUCAUACCAAUUAAGCCAUUUUAUUAUUUCAUCUUUUUAGUGGAUAUAUUUCUUAUCUCCUUUUAAUAGUGACCUUUUUCUUUUUCCUAAUUUUUUUUGGAUCUUAUGCAGCAAGGUUCAACAGUUUUGUGAGGCAUAUCUUACAUAUCUGCAUAUCAGUUGGUUUCAGAUGCUCACGCUUUCACUAAAUGUACCAUCCUUUCACUGAAGUAGUUCAAGCCUAUCAAAUUUCCUUCAUUCACAACCUACAGUUAGUUGUACCUAUUGUCUGCGGUGAUCUAACUAGCUGUCAAUGUCCUUUUCAAUUUAUAAUGGCACAUUAAAUCACAUGAAUUGAAAAUGCAUGCUUACUAGCAGUCAAUGGAAGAUCUAUGAAAAGCUUGCUUUCACGGGGGCGUUUGCGCAUUGGACGAAAAAGAAGCACAUCCACAUUGUUCAUACAUGGCAGAGGAGUUGGGGGUUUAUACAAGGAGAAAGUCACAAUUCUGCUGCAAACAGAUGUAUAUAUAGCGGCAGGACUGGAGAGAUGGGAAUGCAUCACCUCGGUAGUGCUAUAGGCCCAUAGGGUUGGCGGCGAUAGUUGGUGUCGGUAUUAUUGACACCCUUGCCAUUGCGGUGCUGGGAGUACUGCCAUGAAAGGUGCUGCUUCAAUCGUCGCGGACGAGGGCUCAUGAUUAUGAGCAUAGUAUCACAUGAUUGGGAUGGUAGAGACGUGCGUUGCACGUGCACGCUUACUAGUAAAGAGAAAUAAUAAC
rnacentral:lncRNA from 1 species